rnacentral:sRNA from 1 species
UCACUAGAAAAAGAAAGCAACUUGCUAC